rnacentral:rRNA from 1 species
UACGAAGGGGGCUAGCGUUGUUCGGAAUUACUGGGCGUAAAGCGCACGUAGGCGGAUCGGUCAGUUAGGGGUGAAAUCCCAGAGCUCAACUCUGGAACUGCCUUUAAUACUGCCGAUCUCGAGUCCGGAAGAGGUGAGUGGAAUUCCGAGUGUAGAGGUGAAAUUCGUAGAUAUUCGCAAGAACACCAGUGGCGAAGGCGGCUCACUGGCCCGAUACUGACGCUGAGGUGCGAAAGCGUGGGGAGCAAACAGG